rnacentral:rRNA from 1 species
GACGAACGCUGGCGGCGCGCUUAAUACAUGCAAGUCGAACGAGAAGCCAGAGCUUGCUCUGGUGGAAAGUGGCGAACGGGUGAGUAACACGUGAGAAACCUGCCCCAAAGAUUGGGAUAAGCCUUGGAAACGAGGUCUAAUACCAAAUACCUUCUUUUUAACACAUGUUAAAAAGAAGAAAUGCUCCGGCGCUUUGGGAUGGUCUCGCGAUCUAUCAGCUUGUUGGUGAGGUAACGGCUCACCAAGGCAUCGACGGAUAGCUGGUCUGAGAGGAUGUCCAGCCACAUUGGAACUGAGACACGGUCCAAACUCCUACGGGAGGCAGCAGUAGGGAAUCUUGCACAAUGAGGGAAACCUUGAUGCAGCGACGCCGCGUGCGGGACGAAGGCCCUAGGG